rnacentral:rRNA from 1 species
UACAGAGGGUGCUAGCGUUGUUCGGAAUCAUUGGGCGUAAAGAGCUCGUAGGCGGUUUGUCGCGUCUGCUGUGAAAACUGGGGCUCAACCCCAGCCUGCAGUGGGUACGGGCAGACUAGAGUGCGGUAGGGGAGAUUGGAAUUCCUGGUGUAGCGGUGGAAUGCGUAGAGAUCAGGAGGAAUACCGAUGGCGAAGGCAGGUCUCUGGGCUGAUACUGACGCUCAUGACACGAAAGCGUGGGGAGCAAACAGG